rnacentral:rRNA from 1 species
UACGUAGGGGGCAAGCGUUGUCCGGAUUUAUUGGGCGUAAAGAGCUUGUAGGCGGCUUUGCAAGUCCGUUGUGAAAACUCGAGGCUCAACCUCGAGACGCCGGUGGAAACUGCAAAGCUAGAGUCCGGAAGAGGAGAGUGGAAUUCCUGGUGUAGCGGUGAAAUGCGCAGAUAUCAGGAAGAACACCCGUGGCGAAGGCGGCUCUCUGGGACGGUACUGACGCUGAGACGCGAAAGCGUGGGGAGCGAACAGG